UCUGAUCCCACAAUGAUUGUUCCGUUGUGAACACUACAUCACUGCUCUCCAUCUUGGUCCUCAUCUUUGUAAGUCACCUUGAUUUUGGACCUGUGUGUUUUUAUCAGUUUCUUUAUGAAAAUAUUUAGUGAACUCCAUGACGAGUAGCAAAAGCAAGGGGCUAUAGCAGUAUACAAUCAGACUACAAAUGCAUGCUGGCCGGACAUGCCCUGAAGUGAGCGCUACUUGGAACGGGCGAGAGCGUCGCUCCAGGCUUUGGAAAUCUCGCCCAGCGCGCCAGUCAAAAUGGGGCACGCUCCGUUCACAUACUCUGGUUGGUAUUGCAAAUGCUUGGUGCACUGGAAGAUAAACCACCUGAAAGUGAAUCAGUUUGCUUGGGCAUGACCAAGGGAACAAAGUGCAUUCUCUAUUCUUCAGUUACUAACGACCAGGCAAAUAAUCAAUUUACCCAACUAGGAGGAAUGAUGACAUCUCCAUGAAACUGAUAGAGGGGUCAAUUCUCGAGCGUUAAUGAUGGACAGUGGUGUGACGUCUCGUCCUGGGCAAAGUGUCAAGAGGCACGUGCAGUUCAAAAUAGCACUAAGCUUUCCUCAAGCAAGCCGGGAAGGCCGAUGACAUCAGAGGGCACCGUCAGACCAACUCAUUGAAUGGCCUACUCAAUGAAGUUUACGCUUGUGUAAAAAAAGGAAAAGAAAAACAAUAGCUGGAGUGUGUCUUUAAAGGGGCAAUCUGCAGUACCUACAGUACAUCGAGUUUUGGAUUUAUAAAUUAAUUAUACGUACCCAUUAAUUCUUGGAAGAAUAUAACUUCCCACUGGGCACAGACGUCAAAUCAACGUCUAUUCCAUGUUGGUUCAACGUAAUUUAAAUUAAAUGGAAACAGCAUUGAUUCAACCAAUUUGUGCCCAGUGGGUUAUAAAUGCCUCAUGAACUUAGUUCAACUGUCAUACCCCAUCAGAACCCAAAAUAUAAGCUUGUUUUACUCCCAAUGUUUGUAAACAAAGUAAAUGUACACUAUAUAGCCUCAAAACAUGACAAAAACUAUAAUUGUGAUAUCAUGGAUUGUCAGUCCUUGCAUCCAUAGCUCUGUCUAUGAAGUGGUUACAUUUCUCUAGCCCCAUCCCUCAGCUUUUUAGCAAAACAGAGGACACUUUCUUAUUGUUUCAACUGCUGAUUGCCACUUUGAGAGAAGAGUUAAAAAAAUGACACAGAAACGAUCAACAUCU